AAAUUCUGCUGUGAUAAAACGCCAUCCUGUUCCAAACCACAUCAAAGAUUAUUUCUGAAACAGCAUGGAGCUCAAAUGCUUGUUCUCUUGCAGGUUUAUCACAAGCUUGUGGCUCUUUUGACACCUUGAGAGCGGUUACCGCGGGGAUGAAGACAAUGAAGCACAGGAUGCAGGCGGCCUACGCAAAGGACUCCAACCAACUUCCUGGGCCAGAGAAUCAGAGACAAGCUGUCCUUAUUGUCUCUGCUAAUAAAUGAAGUCUCUGUUAAUAAAUUAAAGUAUAAAGUUUGCAUAUUUGAAAUUAAAUGUUUAAAGAAAAAAACUUGAUUCUAAACAUGACAUGAACAAUGUGUUCUGCUUUCAUGAAACAUGUUCAUUUCCCCUCUCGUUAAAAUUGCAUAUUAUUACUAUAAGUCUUUAUUUGUUUUAAUUUUAACUUUACAUUUGUAAUUGUUCAUUAAGUAAAAGCUCUUUUAGAAGGCUUUAUUCGGACAUUUGACUUGUUGCUUUUGUAUUUUGACUUUGUGUCUUUUGUUAUUUUUUGGAUUCUUGUAAAUCCUCUAUUUUUGUUAAAACCUUAAUAAAACCGGUUUGUACUUUUGGA